GUUUACUAAAAGCUCGGUGUCGAUUUUUUAUUCGUUUGAUUUUUGCUGAAAGAUUGAAGCGUAUGAAUUAUUCAACUUAUUUUAAAAUGCGUUUUAUUAAUAGAAACGUAAUAUUAUUUUUAUUUUUCAUCGCAGGAUGCAUUUAUAUUGAAGCAGCACCUGGUAGAGCAAAACGUCAACUAGGCCAGCCAUCUCUAACGUCAAUGACAGAAUCAGCUCUGAGUUCUUCAACAAAGUAUAUGGUUGAUAUGUGCAAAGCAUCUUGGAAAAUGUUCGUUGAUAGUAUGAGGUACUUCAUCCCGAAAUAUUAAACUACAAAUAUCGGCUCAAUAAUGCAUAAUCAAAAUUGUGAUAUUCUUGAACACAAAAAAAUCUCGAAAAUAUGUUUAAUUAAUCCAAAACUUUGAAUUCACUAAACAGUUUUGUUGUAACAGCUAAUUAAAAUAUUGGUUGUAUUAUGUGAAUAAAAAUUUAUUCUCCAGAGA